GAAAAAACAACAACACAGAAAGAUGGAUGAGUUUAGAGGGAAAUAGUCCAAUCAAAUAAGAAUACCAAGAAGUGACAAAAACAUUUAUUUCUUCAAAUGUUUGAACUAACCUUUUAAAUGCAACCUGUAAUUAAGGAGAGUUUACAAUAUCUUGUACAAAGGCAGACAGAACAGAUGUUGUGAAAAGAAAGACCCAAAACCUAAAACAUCAUGACAUUUUUACAGAUGUUCACUCAGUUAAACCUUGAUACAACCACAAAAACAACAAAUAAAGCAGCCAGAAACCUAAACUAUCUGACCCUGACUGACACUUUCUGCCACGGGCCAACAGGUUCCAGCCUCCAUCAUCCUGUGUGACUCAGUGACGAUGAUGAACCAACUCACUCUAACCCCUAUGCUAAUGCUAUAUAAUAAUGCUCAUUACUGCAUUAACUAAUGCUAAGGUUAAGAAGGUGUGAUUAUAAUUCAUCUUUGAUCACCAUGGUUUCAUGCAAGACUUUGAGUCCCUCGAUUGCCUUGUGGAUGUACUCCCAAAAAAGCUUAUAGUCUUCAGGGGACUUGAGCCAUUUAGCUUUUAGUUCAGGGAUAAUCUCCAUCACUGCUUCCAAUAGCUUCUUGACUUCCGCAAACUCAGGCCCAAUGAAUUGUAGGUUGUUGAAUACAUUGUCCGUUAUACGCAUAUACUGGUCUAUGAAGCUGUUAGCAACCAUCUCAAAA
ensembl:lncRNA